rnacentral:lncRNA from 1 species
UGAGACGCCGCGGGCUGAGCCACGCUGCCUUCGAGGACCAGGCCCCCGAGCCUGAACUUGUUCUUCGUCGGAUUCGCCGCGAAUUUCUCCAUGGCGUCGGAGGGGGUUAGGUAGAAGACGAGCUGGUCUUGGAACUGGUUGAGGACGAUCACCACGAAGCCCGCGAUGCAGCUGAACGUUAGCGCGUAGGUCCAUAGGCGGCGGUUCUGCAUCUGGCGCGCUUUCGCUCCUAUGUCGAUCUUCUUGGGGCGGGCUGGGCCGCGGCGGAGGGUGGAGAGAGAUCGGAGGAGGGUGUGGGAAGAGAGUCGCGAGAGAUCUGGUGAGGCGGUGGUCAACGAGUGGAGGAUCGUCGGCGGAGAUUCGAAGAUUUGAGGAUGUCUUUGAGCAGAUCGGAGGAUCUGAGAACUCCGACGGAGCAUGAAUCUGGCCGCCAUGUUCUCGUGGGGGAAUCAGAUUCCGAGAAAGUUCGUGAGGUUUAUGGAGAAAGUGGCCGCCACUGACUAUGGUCCACGUCACGAAACCUCUGCGUGGUUUAGAGGGUUGCUUGUAUCGACUUAUUUUGACCAAUAUUUGAUAUAUUUGGUUAACAUAAGCACAGCCCAGUUGUUUGGUUCAAGUAAUUUAUUUUUUCAUUAGUUUUAGUUUUCGGUUAGAUUAUGAUUUAAUUUUCUUCAAAAUUCAGAUAAUCUUUGUUAAAUUUGGUUUUCGGUUAAUUCAGUUAGUUCUUUUAAUUCAUACAUAAUUUUGGUUUGAUUUGGUAUAAAUUGGUAUGAUUUAUGAUUUAGUUGGGCCUUUUAUUGAACUAGCCAACUACCAAACGAAUCAAUAACGGCCGUAGGAAUAAUGUUAGUUACUUAUAUGCAAACUUGCAAAUAAAGAGGCAUCAGGUACAAUCAGUUCAAUAUUAAUGUAAAGCUGGGUGACUUGUUGCCAACUUAAACCUAAAUGAAUUAGAUCUACUUUGUUGGCUACGCUAAACUAUAACUGAAAUCCCUAGGAAUCUUUGAUUCGAGACUGAGAUUGGCACGGUCAUGACCUAAGUCGACCAGAACAAUGAUGAUGAACAUUCAGACAUGGGUUUUGUGCAAAAGGACACAAAUUGAUCAAGUAUUGUCCUGCUCUGUUUUUUUUUUCUCUACGAAGAAACUCUCCGAAACUCAAACAUUACAAAGACCUGAAACUUCCCAAAAUUCUUACGAAAGAAACAAAAGAGAGAUAGAUCUCCUUCAUUCUUGAGCAGUGCUACUUGCUUCCACUGGCUCAGCCUCAGUUGAGGCCUCUCCUGCCUUCUUCGCUGCUGCAAAAACACAAUCAUAAGCCGUCAUGAAUCUUUUUUUUAUCUCAACCAUCAAGUAAUGUUGAUUUCAUUGAGUCUGCAAAAUUUAUGUUCUUAGUUUCAUACCUUUCUUCUUCUUUCCACCACCCUUCUUCUUCUUGAUACCCAAGGCUAACCACCCUUUGAUCUCAGGGUCAUCGAUGGUCUUCGUAGGUUGAAGCUCUUGAAGAGUAUGUGAAGUGAUCCUAUCUGAUCCAUUUGGCAUCAGCAAAACUGUGAAUUUAAUCUGGGCAACAAAAUCACCUGUUGAAGAAACAAAAUACACCAUGAGUCACGUUGCCAAGAUUUAUCACGUUGUAAGUAUUUAAUGGAGCAAAACCUUUUAUCAUCCUUACCAGGCUUCUCGUAGAGAACAGGAUAUGGCUGUAGAUGACCAUGGUUCACACACUCCACAAGUCCAAGACGUGCCCUCUUCUCCUCAAGUGACCUGUAUUGAUCGUAUACACUCAAACAACAUUAAAAAGCUGCAAUUAUAUUAAAAAGAUAUAAACGGCUUAACAAAGUACAAAAGACACCUUGCAGUGAAUGGCAUAUGGGGGAACUUCUCUUUAAUCUCGCUGAUUAUGAAUCUGGAGGCCUUCAUCUUCAACUGAUAGUUAACAGCUGCAUCCUUCUUGUAAACAGUUGUUUGCUUCUCGUCUAAAAGCUUUGGCUGCAAAUUGAAAGUGUAUGAGAACUAUGGCAACUGAAGAAGCUUUGCAAAUUGGUCAGCAAGAUGUAAUCAACAAAAAGCAAAUUUACCUUGCCAUCACCAGUGCUUGCCACAAUAUCUAUUGCAUAGACUUCAUUCUCUUCAAACUCAGCAUCAUCGACUCUUGUUUCUGGAGUGGAUACACUUAGGAAACUCUUGCUUGCAUCUAUCACGUUCUGUUUCAUCUGGUGGGAGAUAACCCCUUCCACAAUUUUGCAGUCAUAAGCUUCAGCCACCUUCUGAAUAGCUUCAGUGACAGCAUGGUUCUGCCACAAGAAUAUAAAAAAAUAUAUAUUCAAUUGUCUUGCUUGCAGCGCGUUGUAGGAAUAAAUAAGAAACAACCAAACUCAAAGGCAGUAACAUUUUACUAAUCCCAAUAUCAGAGUAACUACGACAUAAGAGCCUCAUGUGGAUUUUUACUAAUCCCAAUAUCAGAGUAACUAUGACAUAAAAGCCUCAUGUGGAUGUGAAUCCAUAGCAUUCUUAGUAAAUAUUCAUCCUUGGGGAAAUGUAAAUGAGAAAACUAACCAGACUCAGCAAAACCAAUAUCUUAUUCUAGAAACACGAGUGAAAAAGAAAACAAAAACAGUAAGAUGUGUUGAGAAAAGUUGCUAUCACUAAACCUACUAAAAACUAGAAUUAAAAAAAAGGUUCCCAUCAGAGUAACUAUGACAAAAUAUCCAUAGCCAAAAAUAAGAGUUUCAUCAUCUGGGGGUUUGCAAAACGUUAUCAAUCAUUUAAAAAACCAACAACCAGCUUAUAGUUUCAAACUUUCAUGUAAGAGUAGCACCAUAUAGAUAACUACUGGUUACCUUCUUCCCAGGACGUACGAGCCUCAAGGCAACUUCAGCGGCAGUAUUAGCAGCUGCAAUAACAUCAGCUUUGCGUCCAGUAACGGGCCCUUCUUGGAUAACAUGUGUGUGGGCAACAAGAGCAAUGAACCCAUCAAUAUGACAUCCCAUAUCACUGUAAAUGGACAAAGCAAAAACAGCAAACAGACAUAAAACAGUUGAUUCGCAGAGAAACAUCUAAAAGGGAUAGAGACAAAACUUACAUUUUGACCAUAUCACCCUCUUCCAACACAGUCUCGUCGCUGGCGAGGGGAGAGAAAUGACCAACAGUGUUGUUAACGGAAACACACGUGGGAAAAGCGACGCCUCGAUCAAUCUUCUUCUUGACAUUCUUGUACAUGCUCCCUGCUUGCCUUUUUUUUUUUCACAUAGAAAAAACACACACACAUAUGAGAGUAAUGACAUCUUAAAAAGACUAUGAAAAUAAAUACUAACUCAUUGAUAAAGGCGUCUCCCUUCUCGCAGAUAUCGACAAUCUUAGCUUUUGGCUUGCAUUCAGCUAAGACCACCUGCAACGCCUCUUCAAUUUCCAAAUAAAAAAACCGUGAGUAACCUGACCGAAAGAGAGAGAGAGUAUGCGUUCUUACUGUUGACGAUCUCAGCGGCGCUCUUGUACUUGGUGACGACUUCAGGGGAGGUGAGAUCCAGCUCCUUCUCGUCUCUCUCAUCGUCUGAACUCAUCUUUAGCGGCUCUCGAGGAUUGAAACAGGAAGGAAAAGGUUAGGGUUUAGAGAGAGAGAGGUGUGAUUUUGGGUAAAAUGAAAUUGGCGAGAAGCGCAAUGAAGGUGGGUGGUGGCUCAAAUAGCACUAGGGUUGCGCUUGUUUGUUAUGUCAUCUCUUGUUAACGACGCCGUUUUGGGUGUAAGUCCCCCUCUUUUUGUUUAUACGUUUCUGAAUUGCGACCUCGCGUUACUGUCUUUUGAGUCUAGGAGGGGCCGAAUGAAAGGGUUGUGGUCACUUAACAUGUACGUAGACCAGCCCACUAAAGAGUAAAGUUGAAUACUAACUCUUCUACUUUACUUUCUUUCGAGUCUAUGUGUGCGUGGAUAUAAUAAGUUAUAAGUUACUUGCGGCAGAGUUGCACCGGUCUUGAAGUUUUUUGAGGUUUAUAUGCGGUCGUGGUUUGAAAUGUGGUUUGAAGAUUGAAAAAUCCGAAUCGUAGAAGACACAAAGAAACGCAUUGCCGCGGAAGCACUUACAUAGCCUUGAUACAACCAGAGUUGACUUGUUUCUAGUGAUGGUUGGUACAUACAUUAUAUUUUACAGCGUCUUAAGACUAGUCGAUGCCACCACUUUAACCAAAUUUAUGGUUCGCAAUAUAGCGCAUUUACUUUGUGGCCAAAACUCCACUAGUGACUUGAUGCUAAUGCCGUCACGAAUAUACCAAGCACCAAGAACGGCUGUGCGCUAGCCUGUAGUAAUCAAGCAGCGUAUUAUCAUCAAAAGACCUAUCAGCUUUCAAGUUCUUUAGAUAUUUCAAAAUAAAACAAACUCUACAUGUCACCAAUCUGAGUUUUAUUACUAUGCGCACUAGAUGAUGACUUACCUGAUACUUGACGUCGUAUUUGACAGGGUCCUUGAGAAAGUAUUUAAACUGCAGUUUCAACAAGAGUGUAAUAGUCAGACGAGUGACAAGAACGUGUAGUAGCUAGUUUGGAUAUGAUACUGUAAUAUGUCUUUACCUGGAACACAAUCUGUGGAAUAAUCAAAGCAAGCAGCGCCAACGCGUAAUAAGGUUUGCCAGAUGCUAAUAGAUAUCCUGCAACCAGAUACAGAAUUAUUAGCUCAUUUAUCUGCGAUCCCUAGAAACCAAGGAUAUUCCUUCAGCUUCAUUGGACUGUGUUUUUAACCGGUAUAAAAUAUCUAGUUGAUAAGAUCAAGUAUAUAGAAGCCACAGCUGAACGAAAUUCUACAUACCGGCAACUGAGAGCUGAGUAACGUCUAUAGCACCAACGCAUAUCCAUUUUGCAGCUUCAGUGCCAAAAGCUACAGGGAGAGACUGAAGGCCCAUUGCUCUGUCUCCUUCAACACUUUUGAAGUCAUUAACAAUGGCUAUUCCCAACUGCAGUAUUACACAGUUACAUGAAGCAAAAUCAGGCUGUUAAAGAUAGCACAAAAGCAUCAUAAAAAGGUCCCAAGAAGAGUACCCCAGCUAUGCUGUACAAGAGUGUUAGAACGACGACGUCUGGUGUAAGAGUGCCAAACAAUGCUUGUCCAGCCCACCUAUCAAUCAAAUGACCACACAAAAAAAAAAAGAAUCAAUGAGAUGAGAACACGGUAAAUAUUGAUGCGCUAUAUUUUCUUACCAUGGCAAACUGAUAUAGCUUGCUCCAAGUGCAAAAUUUCCAACCCAUCCAUUUUGUUUUAGCUGCAAAGAGACCAGUUCAUGUAUUGAUAAGUUCUAAAUCCAAAUACAGACACAAAAUGUCUUGACACUACAACAAUUGAACUUAGGUGUAGAACAUACCUUCAAAGGUGGAGCAGAGUAUAUAUAAGAGAGCAAGGAUCCUCCCAAAGCAAGAUAGAACAAAGUAGGAGUUGUAUGCCCGGCCUGAAAAAGGAAGGUUUAGUCAUUCUGAUGUGCACUUUUAACUGCACUACAUACAUAAAAACCACCAACUUACCCACACAUCUAAAGUUCCAGCAAUUCCAAGACCUCCCAGUAACAGCACCCAGACUUGUGUAAUAACCUGAGUUGCAAACAAGAAGGAGAAAUGAUUAUCAAACAAACUAAUGUUUUUAAAAGCUGAAAAUGUUCUAUAUCAGUACCUCUUGCUCUGAUAUUGCUCCAGAUGGAAUUGGACGAUACGGCUCGUUAAUCGCAUCAAUAUCUCGAUCAUACCAGUCGUUGAUUGUCUAGAAAAGGACACUUGUUAGGUUGUAUUAGCAUAAGAACAACUCAGCUUUUUGUUCUACCAAAACCAGACCUGUGUAUAGCCAGUAAGACACGGGCCAGACAUCAACAUGCAAAGAAUCGACUUAGCAACAUCCUCUGGAGUCCAGUGGAAGUUCCCUACCAGAAGAAACAAAUAAUGAAGGAAGAAUAAUGUGGUGAAGACGUCAAAAAGAUUGUAAAAAAAAAAAAACAUAAGAAGACAGUGUUUUAUUCAUCUUCAAAGAUGUUCAUAUGUUACCUGAAGCAGCAGCACCACAGACAACUCCCCAAACUAAUGGAGGCCAAGUGACUGGCUUUGUAAGCUGUAGACGAAUCUUCCAUUUAUUCUGAACACACAUAUAAGUGAAAAGAUAACUUAACAUGCAGCAGCAUUCUCACAUAAUUUCCACCUAAAAUGUGAUGUUUUUGGUAGUUACCAACUCAACACCUAACACUAUGCAAGUCAACAUCACACUAUGUACAACUAUGACGAUUUUUUCUCAUUUCUAUUUAAAGAUGAUACAUCCAAACUUAAUUUCAUAUGCAUUGGAGAAAAAUAGAUUAAAGAAAAUAAUCGGAGAAGAUUACAGUCUCUUGAGCGGCUCCUUUGAUACCAAGAAGCUGGUUAAUGCUCGAACCACCACCACCGCCUGGUGCCUUUUCCGGUACCUGAGAUUUAACUGCCGUGGAAAUUCAAAAUCAUUAAACUUAACGAAAAAGUUAAGAGAAAAUGAAAAUGAAAAAUUCAAAAGAGCUACACAAACCUUUAUCAGUAUCAGUCUCCGCAGCACGCACAACCAAUCUCCGCCCUAUGUAACAAAAUCAAUUAGAAAUCGCAGGAACAAAAGCUCAGCAUCCAAUUAAGGAAACGGAAUGUACCAGAAGAUUCGAAGCCCGACGUGGACCAACCGUGGCGUCGACGAGUGAACUCGACGGGAUUUCGGAGGGACAGAACUCCUAGACGUUCGGCGGAGUUAACUCGGGAGGGGAGGAUGGAGGAGACGGAGUGGAGAAUGGAAGUCAUAGAAGCGGCGGGCGGAGAGAAUCGUCUACGGUGGCAGUAAGCCGGAGAAGGAGUAGUAUGAGUUUUUGGACGCUUUGCUGUUUCGGGGAAAUCAGUGGUUGUAGCUUACCGGCGAUAAGAGUCUACGUCACGGGUUUUGGCGGCCUCGUUUCGUUUGCCUUACAGCCACGUGGGGAGAUUCUAUUGGGUGAUCGUGUUGAACUAAAACGGACAUAUAAUAGAUAUUUUAGGCCCAUGUCGUAUGAGAAGCCCAUUAGUACGGACGAGGACGCGUGUGGGUAGUAGUCAAAUUUUUUUCUUUUAAUUUGGAUAUUUUAUUUUCGAAGUCUUUGAUAUCAAGGCAAUGAGUUUGAGCUUCUUGAGUGUCCUGACAAGUACGUCGCAAACCCAUUCAAUGGACAUUUUAAAACAUAAUUUAGUAUUAUUCCUUGAGUUAAUUUAAUGUGAGGAGACAAAUACAGCACGAAUCCAAACUGCAAUUAUGGUUUGUACAUGUCCCUUUAGAGGUCAAGUUUAUUUGACGAACUUUGUUCUCCACGGUACAUUACCAAAGUAAACUCACAGACAGAAUAACAACAAACACUGCACAACCUUAAAGACGGCUACGGCUCCGUGAAGCAGCAGGUUUGAAACUCGCAAUCCCUGUUACUUCCCUCGCCGUCACUAAGGUGUUUAUAUCGUAAGUCCCUUCAUAUGUAUAAAUGGGUUCAAGGUCACAGAAAGCCUGCAAUAUUUUUCCACAUUUUAGAGCUUAAACUCACUGAACAUUUUUCAUCAACAAAUAUGAAAGAUUUAGCGCACCUUUGCCACCAGAAAAUCUCCUACAAUUCCAUUUCCACCGAGUAAUUCUCGGCCUAACGAAGCAGUUUCCCUUGCCUUUGAUGAAAUCCAUGCCUAGUGAAAGCACAUGAUUGGUUUAUAUUAUACAAAUGAUCAUCAGUAAAUGUUCACUACUGAGCUAAUGUUUGAUUCCUCCACUUACUCAAGCUCAUAGCAUAGCUCAGUGAGUGUGUAUCAAAUAAUUAAUUAGCAAGGAGGAAACUAAAUGAUCUGUAAGCAAAAAAAAGGAUUGGUUGUUAUACCUUUCCUAAACUGGCUUGACCAGGAGUCAUCUGACCCGACUCAUAUAACUUGCAGAGGCGCCAACCCAUCAGAAACAUCGCUUGAACAUUACCCAGCAUCUUCACAAGCUUCUGUUGGUUUAUCUGGAAUGCAGCCAACGGUGCUCCAAACUGUUUCCUCUCCUUUAGAUACCUUCAAAAAAUAGGCAUUCCAUGGAAAUGUUUUUUUGGUAAGUAACAAAAUGAAUGCUCAUACAAUGUUACAAAAUGAAUGCUUCUCCGGUAAUACCUGUGACACAUGUCGUAGACUCCCAUUGAUACACCAAUUGGUUGCCAGGCCACCAUUACACGUGAGACAGCAAGGACCUAUUCAAGUGAAGCACAGAAAAACAGUUCAAUAUCACGGAGAAAAUAGGAAGCUAUGACGUUUUGUUUGUGAUAAAAUAUUGAAGACCAUUUCUGGAUCAUGUGUAUUCAUCACAACAGUACCUUGCUUGUGUCUUGAAAAGAAUUUAGUCCAGGUAACCGCUCCUCAUCAGGAACAAAGACAUUCUGUAGUAGAAUAUCUCCAUUUUGAACAAUACGUAAACCUAUUUUAUUUGGGAUCUUAGUAACCGUUAAGCCAGGCGCAUCUUUCUUGACUAUGAAUCUGCAAGACGGUAGCUCAGUAGUGAACAUUUACACAACAGCCCAGUAUGUUAUUGAUUAUGGUCCAUAUAAAAUUUAAUUCCCUAGUGCAUCCAGUCACAGAUCCACCUUAUUAACUUCAUUUUUGAGAAACGACCUCCAACCUUAAGAUAUAAAAUUUGAGAUAUCUAGUAAACCAAGAAUCUGACAUACCCAUUCACUUGGUUAGUUGUCGUAUUCCUAGCAAGGAUGAUCAACAGAUCUGCAAAGGUGCUGUUACCGAUCCAACGCUUUUGUCCCGUAAGUACCCAACCUCCUUCGACCUGAUGAAAUAGACAAUUGAAACAAGUCAAUAUUCUGGUAACCGCAGAAGAGGAUACAAGUGAAGGAAACAGUAAAACACCUUUGUGGCAGUUGUUUGUAGAGCACUUGCAUCACUUCCAUUGUCAGGUUCUGUCAAAGCCUUUAUACAUGUCCAAAUAUAUGUAAUGGUAUCAGCAUCAAGUUUACAUAACGCAAACACUUAUACAAGAGAUGAUGCAAAUCUUCUAAGUUCAAGAACCACGCACUCACCCAACAAGUCACAGUUUUCAUCUGAGCCAAAGAAGGCAAAUACUUGUGCUUCUGUGCUUCUGAUCCACAAAGUGCUGUUCUUGGAAAAAAGUUCAUAAGAAAUUAAGCUUAUGCAAACCAUACCAAUCUGUUUAUCACAAGCUAAGGACAUCUUUACCAAUAGUGAGCAUGCCCAAAGAGGUAUGCACCAAAUUAAAAGUCCCACAGCUUGCAUCAACUCUAGAUAUCUCUGCUGUUGCAAUGGCGUUGGCUGUGAUGGAGAGGCCAGGACAGCCAUAACCCUAAAAAGCCAGACCAAAUUAAAAAAAAAAACGAAUCUUCCAUCCACAUAUAAAAAAAACAGAAACAAAGCAUUUCAACAUACCUUAAUAGAGCCACCGACAACACCUAAAGCUCCAAGCUUUGGAAUGAUAUGGAAUGGAAACUCUGCCUUCUCCCAGUACUGAUGAUGAGUAAAAAUAUCAAAGAAAGAAGGAUGAUGUCACGCAAUAAUACUAUCAAAGUUAGCAAACAAACAAACAGGAAGAAGAUAGACACACCUCUGUCAUAAUCGGAGCAACUUCUUUCUCCAUGAACUCCCUCACUCUCUUCCGCACAGCCUGCUCCUCCGGAGUCAACAGUUCAUUGAAAUGGUAAUAGUCUGAAGCUGUAAUCAAGUAUAGGAAACACACAGAUUGAAGCAAAAGCACAACAAAACAUACAUAAUCUCUGAAAUAAAAAGUACUUACUGCAAGGUGGGAACUUAGAAGCUGGGGUUGCUUGAGGAAAUGCAACGGAUACGUCCAUAGCCGGCAAAUCGAAAUACGAACUCUUCACCUUCUUCUCAGCAUCAUCUACCAAUCCAAUUCCAAAAUCAAAAACCUCAAAUAAGAUUUCAUUUCCUAUACACUUCUGAUUCCGUAACACUACGCAAUCAUGAGUCCCUUUGGAUAUAUCUACAAAUGAAAGCAAUCGCGAAACAGGAAGAGAUAACAAAAGAUCAAAGCAGCAAGCAAAAGAAUAGCUGAAUCAGGAGAACGAAACAUGCAAAACCAUUAGAGAAAAGAGACGAUAAACGAACCUCGAUCUCUAGAUGAUGAGUUGGAUCGGAUGGAGUUGACGCGGAGGUGGUCUUGGAGGUGUUGGAGGAACUUGUCACCGACUCCUCCGGUCGCGUUGUUAUUAGGUUGUGGAGGAGGAGGGGGUGCAUAGACUUGUGCGCCUUUGCAACCUUCUGCAAGAUUUAAACUUCGCAUUGUGGUGAAUAGAUUAUGCUGAUGCUGCAUCCUUCAAUCAAGCGUAAACCCAGAUCGAAAUGAACACAAAUUCGAUUUCAUAACCGCUUAAUUUUUGAAGAUCUGAGGAUUCGAUCAAAACAAUAGAAAUCAAAGAUUUACAAUUACGCCAAGAUUGGAUCACGGAGUCCGUGAAACCUCUAAUCGAGAAAAAAAAAAGGAAGUAAAGAAAAAUUAAUUUGUAUUCACUAAUUUUCACGAAAGACGGAAACUUAACGGAGCUCUCCUUCUCCUUCUUCUUCUCGGAGAUGGUGUUUUUUUUUUUUUUUGCAGUGCAAGUUUCGUUUUUUUUUUGGGGUUUGUUGACACUAAAAUUACGAAAAAUUCCGUAAAAAUAGAGAUGUGUAAUUGGAGGAAGAAUCUUCCUCCUCCGUUCGAUCCUUAGCUCUCUUCGUCUUCUCUCUCUGUUUGGUUUUUUUCUUUAUUGUUUUUUUUUACCCUUCGUUUCAGAGAUGCGUUCUAAAAUUAAUUUGUGGCACCUUUUUUACUCUUUUACUUUUGUCCUCUUGCUAGUUUAUUUCCAUUUCUUCAAUUUUAAUCUUAGGUUAUAUAUAGACCUUAUCUACUGCCGUUUUUCUUUAUUUCUUUCCUAGAUUUCGCGGCGCUUUUUUUUUACUUUUCCAAAUGUUGUAAAAUAUUAAUUACUAAAAUAUUUACUUUGAUUAGUUUAUUUGCAGGAUAUUUUAUUAUUUUUACCAACAAAUUAAAAUUGUAGAAAAAGCCAGGAACUGUUUUGAUUGUCCAAUAAAUACAACAAACAAAUCUAUAAAUCAGUUAUCAGUUAUAAUCCGUUGUAUAGUUUUUCAUUCUUCAACCACGUAAUCCUUGUAGUUUGUCUACUAGUUGGCCAUACCUGUAUUAAAUUCUGAAAAAGAGCCAUCAUAAAUCUGUCAGUAUCUUCCAUAUAACAAUUUAUCCGCAGAGAUUCGUUGUUAUCAUAUGAACACAUAAUCUAGUCAUUUAUCCCCCAGUAUUCAUUUGUUUGACGCUACCACAUACUGGUGUGGGUGUCCAUAAAACAAGACCCAAUGAUUUACUGUAAAAAAAAAAAAUCUCAAAGCCAACCAUAUUAUUUACUAUCAUCGAGGAUUUUUAAAUAAAAUAAUUUUCCUGACAGAACAUAUAAAUAAAAAUGAAUUAUUAUAUGUGCUGUUUGAUAGCCGGCAAAUAGAUUAUGCCAACCAACAUUGAGCGAGCGGCGAAGUCAUGUCAACACGUUUUACUGUUUAGUUUAUGAUUAAGGAAGUAAGCUUAUUGAAAUCUGCAUAAUAAGACGCUAUGAUUAAGUCUGAUAUUGCUGGUUUGAUUUGGCAUAAGAAUUAUUAUUAUAUACAUAAAUAUAAUUCCUUGGAACAUCUAUAAUUGAGAUGAGAUGAGAAUGAAGAAAACACAUAAGGUCAUGUGGGUGAGACAGCUCAGAAUGUCGUUUUAGUUAAAGAGGAAACUUUUCAUCCAGAAGCACGGAUCGUACUAUUUACACAGUUUUGUACAUUACCACCACCAAAAUCACUUGUCUAUUUCCCUAUGCCCCCACCUUCUAUAAUUUAAGGUAGGCCUGCGGGCGGAUUCGGUUUAAUUGGAUUUGAAGAAAGUCUAUUGAACCUAACCGAAUAAAAUUAAAAUGGAUUAACCCAAUCACUCAAUAGUCAAUACUCGUUUUCAUUUCUGACACAACCUUAACACCAAGAUGUGUAUUUUCCCGAUUUGAUCAUAUGUAAUUGAAUUUUACAGUGAAAGUUAGAGCAUAUGGGAAGACAAUCCGAAAAUCUAAAAUCGAAACUUGAACUGAACUUCAUACAAACCUCAGGCGUACAAAAACAUGUAUUCAGACUCAGACACUGAGAGAUUUAUAAUAACAUUCCAAGGAUCAUAAAACCAAUAAUUUUUCUUAAACAUUUUCUCAUUUAACAACAGUAAUAAAAAGGAACAAGAUAAUUUUUUUAUUUAUUUUUGGAUACGUAACAAUAAUAAAAUGGUCAGUCAAAUUUCUCCCAGUCUUGAGUUACAUUAGCAGAAGGAGAAGCUGGAGGAGGAGGGUUCAAACUUCCAACACCGUUUCCGAAUGUUUCCCACUCAGUGCUUACGGCUGCAGCUUUGCUCUGAUCCACAAAUGGGUUUGAACAUCUCCCCUUCAACGUAUCCACAGCUUCCUGCAACUUUUGCACUCUACGAACCUGCAACACAAACCCCCGCCCCCAAUCAAAUCUAUAUCCCUGCUCGGUUAACAACUAAAUAUAGAAAGAAGAGACUGUAUCAUAACAUAACCAAAGUCUCUACAUUUUACCACUAACUGAGAAACAACUAUAAAAGAAAUCCAAGUGUACAUCUACUAAAGUCUACAUUUAGAUCAUUGCAACUCAUCCCAAAGCCACAUAGCUCACAAGUACUGAGAUAAAAUAUAGUUUAUGAUACAGACAGGUGAAAACUGUACGAAAUGUAAAGCUAACCUCUGCCUUUCGCAAUACUCUAGCUUCUCCUUCUGCCUCUAUACCAUCCAAUUUAAGCAACUGCCUCAUGAGAAGCUCAGCAGUCAUGUCAAACUCCUCCACCGCAACUUUCGUCCCUCCAUUAACAGAAACUUCCAAAGCAACAACCUAAUUUUUUUUCAAACCACAAUCCUUCAUUCCCACUUUUCCUACAAGUAACAAAACCAAAAAAGAUUGCGUCUCUAAAAAAACUCACCUUAUCUGAGAGCUUAUCAAUCUCUCCAGAGACAGCUUUAACUGCAGCAACAGACUUAGCCAUCUCUUCAGUCAUCACUGGAGGCUGUUCAACUUGUUCAACUCUCUUCUUAGGUUCCUCCACAAGGACAACCUUAGACCCAUCCUUAACACCAGAAGCUUGUAAUUGCUCAGCGUCAUCUUUCUCAACUCCCCUGAACAAGAUCUUCAGAUCAGCAGCCUCUAAUCCAGUUUUCUGGACAAGGGCUUUCUUCACAUCCCCUGUUUAAACAACAUCCAGAGUCUAAAGAUCACAACUUUAAAUUGUAUUAACACAAACCCAAAUAAGGAGUUUUCGUUUGUUCAUUUGAGGUUUUUACCGAAAGUGGCGUGAGCAGAAACGGGAAGAUCGUGGUGCGAGGAGCCAUGGGAGACGUUGAUCCUGAUGGUCUGAACGAAAACGGCGGGAUGUUGAGGGUCGGAGGAGGAGGGAGAGUCGUCUCUUCGUUGGACGAGCAUACCACCAGGUCUCACUUCCCACUCCGAAUCGUCGGUUGAGUUAUUCAUCAUCGUCGUCGGAGCAAGUGGAAUGGGAUUAAACCCCCCUUUUCGAGGUCGAGACUAGGGUUUUCAACUCUUCCUUGUUCUCAUGUGAUACGAAUUCUCCACAUCUACGGGGGUUUUUCAACUUUUUUGCUCAACUUUGGACCACAAACCAAAACCCGGUUCUAGAUCUAGUAAACCGGACCAGAUGGAACGGGUCGGUCGGUAUAUUGGUCGUACACAUUAACUGAUUGUUGGUUGAUUUGGAAUUGAAGCAAAAGGAGCGGCUCUUAGACAGGACUGUGCUGGGCCGGCAUAACCGCCACAACACAUGGAGUGUUCAAGAAAAAGAAGAAUCAUCAUGAGCAAAAAAAAAGAGAGCAAAGAUAUUGGAAAAAAUCAUGACUACAAAUACUCAAAUGCUGAAAGGGACUGAUUGAACCGAAACUGAGUUACCAGGAAGGACUUGUCCUGUAACCGAACAGGGUUCAGUCUGAAACAGAGUAGCAGGUAGUGUAAUGGGUGGGUUGUCCCAUAUUUUAAGAUGGAUCAAGCACACAGUAUCACUCAGGGAAACGCAAUAGAGCUGAUGGAAGUUGGAAACAGCAGCGACAAAACCGAAGUGGGUUCAAUCCCAUUCCAUAUUGUCUUGUUUUUGAUGACUCAAAUCAUAAACCAUCCACAAUCAUUUUUUUCAUUGCACUGAAAUUUGAAAGACCAUCCCAGGCCAUGAGAUGCAAAUUUGAGUAACAAUUGAUACAACAACUAUACAGUCUACACUGUGAUCAAGAACCACGCCCAAAGGGGUUAGUGCCAAGAAAGAGAGGCCAAAUACCUCAUAAUACUAAGGUUAACAGAUUUAAUAUGCAAUUCUAGAGGCAAUAAACUUUUCAAAAGUACAAACUUUGAAUUCUUCAGAGCCAGAAAUUCCUAGCUGGAAUGCUUUAACAACAAGCUCCACCAUAACCGAAAACUCUGGAAGAUGUGUUCCCAACUCUUGUAUUUAGCAAGGCUAGUAAUAAUAAGAACAAGGUCACACAGACGCCUACUUUGGUAAUAAGUUUCUGAUACUAAGCUUCACUAGGUAAAUCUAAUCUAUGUGCGUAACAACAACACAUCCAAAAACAACACGAGGAGCCAAGCACUCCCUCAUGAAAGUGUUUACUUUAUUUGAUCAAAUAUAACAAGAAAACAGAUUAGCUCAAGCCUUGUGGAAUCAAACAAAGCUCUAGUUUAGUGUAAUCUCCUUCCUCCUCCUAUUUCUCAAAAAUACUCAAAAUCAAAUCAAUGUUUUCCAGAAACAAAAACAUUCCUGAUACUCCGGAAUCUAUAAGAAUCAAUUAUAUUUCAUAACAUGACCAAUACUCAUCUAAGAAGCAACCUUAGCAGCUUCUUCACUCGCGUGAUUCGCUUCAAUAAUCUUCUUAUUCUUCUCAAUCGCCGCCGCAACCUCCUGAGGCAUAUACUUCUCAUCAUGCUUAGCCAAAACCUCAGUCGCCGAGAAGAAACAAUCAAGCCCCCUCGCCUUCCCGGAGACAGGCUUCGUCGACACCUCCUUCCUCACCUCAUCACUAAACGGCUUGAUAAAACCUUCCACCACAACAGAGUGACCUUCCCUGAACAGAUCAGGCAACGAGCCUUUGUACCUCACCAGAAUAUCCGUAAUCAGAUCCGUGAUCACGAACUCCAUCUCCUGAGACGCCGCGGGCUGCGCGACGCUGCCUUCGAGGACGAGGCCUCCGAGCCUGAACUUGUUCUUCGUCGGAUUCGCGGCGAAUUUCUCCAUGGCGUCGGAGGGGGUUAGGUAGAAGACGAGCUGGUCUUGGAACUGGUUGAGGACGAUCACCACGAAGCCCGCGAUGCAGCUGAAGGUUAGCGCGUAGGUCCAGAGGCGGCGGUUCUGCAUCUGACGGGCCUUGGCUC